rnacentral:rRNA from 1 species
UGGGGAAUAUUGCACAAUGGGGGAAACCCUGAUGCAGCGACGCCGCGUGGAGGAAGAAGGUCUUCGGAUUGUAAACUCCUGUUGUUGAGGAAAACGGAUGGUACUCAACAAGGAAGUGACGGCUAACUACGUGCCAGCAGCCGCGGUAAAACGUAGGUCACAAGCGUUGUCCGGAAUUACUGGGUGUAAAGGGAGCGCAGGCGGGUAUGCAAGUUGGGAGUGAAAUACAUGGGCUCAACCCAUGAACUGCUCUCAAAACUGUGUAUCUUGAGUAGUGCAGAGGUAGGCGGAAUUCCCGGUGUAGCGGUGGAAUGCGUAGAUAUCGGGAGGAACACCAGUGGCGAAGGCGGCCUACUGGGCACCAACUGACGCUGAGGCUCGAAAGUGUGGGUAGCAAACAGGAUUAGAUACCCGAGU